GGGAGCUGUCUCUGAGAACCUGCGGGAGAGCGCCCGGGCUUGCUGCUUCCCGGACCCGCGCGUCUCUCGAGCACCCUCGUCCCACCACCUUGUGAGGCCGUAGUGUUAUUUUUAUUUUUUAGAUCAGCAGACUGAGACUCGAGGUGACGUCACUCCGCAGAGAGGUUAGCUGCCUUGAAGAAAACGGAUAUCUCCUCUUUCCGUUUCGCCCGUAUAAACAGCCGAACUGCCUAUUAUAAAAGCAUGGACUGCCAGCAUUGGCGUGGUCGUUAGAGGCCUAUUAUGAAAUCAUAGAAUGUCUGCAUUGGAAUCGCCUCACCUCCUUUUACCGCUGGAGAAGCCGACGGACAGACGGGCAGCGACCCCCGCCGUCGCACAACCCGUCUAGGCAGAGAGCGCGGGAGACGGGAGGGCGGCAGGGACACAUCUCCCAGCCAAGGACCUCCUGGGCCCGCAGAGGCCGCGACAGGUUCCCCCCACAGAGGGAACCAACUCUGCCGCAGGUUGAUGUGGACUUCAAGCCUGCAGAACGGAGAGCCCAUUUCCAUUGCUUAAAGCCACCUCGUGUGUGGUUAGAGCACAGCAGACUGAGCCACCCAGAACUGGCCCCUCCGGUGGACCAGCCCCUGCGGAUUCACAGACCACUGGGCCUGGAAGGGACCUUGUCAAGCAGGCCCAUAAGGUAAUCCCUCCCCGGAAAGAGAAGAUCACAGAUUUUGUCGUAUUAAAUACAUUGUAGAAAUUCAUGGUAGCAGGGGCAAGAUCAUUUAAACAAAACAGAAAGUUUCAGAGAGAGAAAAAGCCAAGGGCAAAGAUUAAUCAUUUUUCUGCUUAAAAAAAAUGGCUUUGAUUUGCAACCAUGGAAUGCUCCACUGUUUCUCUUCUCUUCAAAGACAUCUACUGGAAGGAUUCCUUAACCUUACCAAGUGGCCAAAAUACUUUUCUGAGAAGAGUCACAGAGCAUAGGCCCCCCUAGGGUACACAGAGAUUUCAUUAGUCCCUAGAUGUUUCCUGAUCCUUUUAAAAACUGGUUAAAUUCAGAGACUCUAGGCAAUUACUUCUUUCAGAACCUGUGAGGCAAAAACGAAAGAAGAAGGCAGGACACGCAGUGUAACAAACCUUGGAAUGGACUUCGCCAGACUUCAUCAGAAGAAAGCAGUGCGAGAGGGGACUGCAGAGGAAAGCUGGGGCUUGGGAAACCAGCAGCAGGGGCCACGUGGGCAGGUGGUUUCUGUGUGAACCUCUGAUCUGUGCAACAUAAACAGGAAAUGUUGAAGGCUUCCAGUGCUCUUUUUUGAUGUCGAGAACAUUCUACGGUACAAAAGAGUUUGCCUCUCACUGUUUCUCAUAUAUGGAGGUUUUCUAAUCAGCAUCCUGAACAGAAUUGAAUUAAAAAUAAAACCAA
rnacentral:lncRNA from 1 species